rnacentral:rRNA from 1 species
GACGAACGCUGGCGGCGUGCCUAAUACAUGCAAGUAGAACGCUGAAGAGAGGAGCUUGCUCUUCUUGGAUGAGUUGCGAACGGGUGAGUAACGCGUAGGUAACCUGCCUUGUAGCGGGGGAUAACUAUUGGAAACGAUAGCUAAUACCGCAUAACAAUGGAUGACACAUGUCAUUUAUUUGAAAGGGGCAAUUGCUCCACUACAAGAUGGACCUGCGUUGUAUUAGCUAGUAGGUGAGGUAAUGGCUCACCUAGGCGACGAUACAUAGCCGACCUGAGAGGGUGAUCGGCCACACUGGGACUGAGACACGGCCCAGACUCCUACGGGAGGCAGCAGUAGGGAAUCUUCGGCAAUGGGGGCAACCCUGACCGAGCAACGCCGCGUGAGUGAAGAAGGUUUUCGGAUCGUAAAGCUCUGUUGUAAGUCAAGAACGGGUGUGAGAGUGGAAAGUGCACACUGGGACGGUAGCUUACCAGAAAGGGACGGCGAACUACGU